rnacentral:miRNA from 1 species
AGGUGUCCAGCCUCUGGUCGA